GACGAACGCUGGCGGCGCGCCUAACACAUGCAAGUCGAACGAGCAAAGAGGAGCUUGCUUCUCUGAGCGAGUGGCGAACGGGUGAGUAACGCGUGAGGAACCUGCCUCAAAGAGGGGGACAACAGUUGGAAACGACUGCUAAUACCGCAUAAGCCCACGGGUCGGCAUCGACCAGAGGGAAAAGGAGCAAUCCGCUUUGAGAUGGCCUCGCGUCCGAUUAGCUAGUUGGUGAGGUAAUGGCCCACCAAGGCGACGAUCGGUAGCCGGACUGAGAGGUUGAACGGCACAUUGGGACUGAGACACGGCCCAGACUCCUACGGGAGGCAGCAGUGGGGGAAGUAUUGCACAAUAGGGG
rnacentral:rRNA from 1 species